AUAUAAGCGUAUUUAUAUAUAUCAUUUUAUAUACACAAUUCAGUAUCAAGCCUAAUAGGUACCAAAAAAUUUUCAUAUAUAUAAAUUUUUUUUAUAUUUUUAUAUUAGCUAUAAACUUAUAAAAAGUAUAUAUAUACUUAAUAUAUAUUCAGCAUAUGUAUAGCAAAUAUAUAUAUAUAUAUAUAUAUGCAUUUUCAUAUAAUAUAAAAAAACAUAUACGUAUUAAAACAUAUGAAAGUUAUUUGUAUUAGUUUACAUAUACACAGUUAUUAAAUUGUACACGCUCUGUACUGUUCUUUCCUUAUUCUUUCUCCCCCACUAAAUAUUCCGUAUGUUGAGCAGUAACUUAUUUUUUAUUUUAUUGGUAUGCUUUUUUGGUAUAGCAUACUCGUUGGACGAUUAUCGGAAGAAAUUUUUUUCUUUGAAACAUGAAACAGGGAGUUCACAAAAUAAAUUAAAUUCAUUUAGAUUAAAAAAGUAUAACUUAGAAUCGGAAUUUCCUAGUGAUACUUGUAUUUGGAAAUAUAAAAAUGUAUGCAACACCAGUAAGUACGAAAUUGUAAUUAAUAAUGGAUUGAGUAAUACUUUAGUUAAUGUGAUGUUAUUUCAAAAGGAAACAAGUGACACUUUGUCAGUACACAGACAACAAAAAUUGUUUGGAAAAAAUGGGAGUGCUAUGAUAAAAUUUGAUAAUAUCCCAAUGCUACAUUAUAAUAUACGUAUAGAAACGGCAAAUGUAAUAUAUAACACAGGGUAUACAAUAGGUAAUGAUUGUGAUUGUCAAACGUGUUUGGAUACAAAGUUGGAAAUAGAAUUAGAACACAUGGGAAAAGGGAUUAUACAUACAAUGAAAAAUGAUACAGAAAAUGAAUUAUUUUAUCCACACAAUGCCUUUGUUCAUGGAGAACAUUUGUUUAAUCAAUUUUUAUUUUUUCAGCGAAAUCAGAAAAUUGGAAUAGUAGAUGAUUACAAUUUGUUUUAUGAAGAUUAUCCAGAGUUAGUAUAUCCAUGUUCAGGGAUUAUAAUGGUACAUGUUGAGAAAUAUAAUAUACAUUAUGAUUUAAAAGAUGCAACCUGCUUUUAUGUUAGUUUAAUGGACAAAUUUUUAAAAAAG
rnacentral:lncRNA from 1 species